rnacentral:rRNA from 1 species
GGACCCGCACAAGCGGUGGAGCAUGUGGUUUAAUUCGAAGCAACGCGAAGAACCUUACCAAAUCUUGACAUCCUCUGACCCCUCUAGAGAUAGAGUUUUCCCCUUCGGGGGACAGAGUGACAGGUGGUGCAUGGUUGUCGUCAGCUCGUGUCGUGAGAUGUUGGGUUAAGUCCCGCAACGAGCGCAACCCUUAAGCUUAGUUGCCAUCAUUAAGUUGGGCACUCUAAGUUGACUGCCGGUGACAAACCGGAGGAAGGUGGGGAUGACGUCAAAUCAUCAUGCCCCUUAUGAUUUGGGCUACACACGUGCUACAAUGGACAAUACAAAGGGUAGCAAAACCGCGAGGUCAAGCAAAUCCCAUAAAGUUGUUCUCAGUUCGGAUUGUAGUCUGCAACUCGACUACAUGAAGCUGGAAUCGCUAGUAAUCGUAGAUC